AAGUCGUAACAAGGUUUCCGUAGGUGAACCUGCGGAAGGAUCAUUAACACGUAUCUAAACGUUAAAACCCCCCCCCCGUGAACCUUCAUCCUGCUCUUGUAACCCGCGUAGUUCGCAAUCUCUGAUAAAGCAUAGCCCGGAAAGUUGUAGUGAUUCAGAGACCUCUGGCUACGUGCGAACAUUGGAACAGUUACAGUGUCGGAAAGUGUCAUUGAUUGUGCAAGGAUAGCGCUUCUACGAUUCCUGUCGACCGUACACCCGGGCAGGAGCUUUGCCAAAGGGUCCCCAUGCCCCCUAAUAACCCCACAGUUUAAUGUGAAGCUCAAUGUAAUACAUUGGAUAAAAAAACCGAACAACUGUUAACAAUGGAUAUCUUGGUUCUC
rnacentral:misc_RNA from 1 species